UUAAGCGACUAAGCGUACACGGUGGAUGCCCUGGCAGUCAGAGGCGAUGAAGGACGUGCUAAUCUGCGAUAAGCGUCGGUGAGGUGAUAUGAACCGUUAUAACCGGCGAUUUCCGAAUGGGGAAACCCAGUGUGUUUCGACACACUAUCAUUAACUGAAUCCAUAGGUUAAUGAGGCGAACCGGGGGAACUGAAACAUCUAAGUACCCCGAGGAAAAGAAAUCAACCGAGAUUCCCCCAGUAGCGGCGAGCGAACGGGGAGGAGCCCAGAGCCUGAAUCAGUGUGUGUGUUAGUGGAAGCGUCUGGAAAGGCGUGCGAUACAGGGUGACAGCCCCGUACACAAAAAUGCACAUAUUGUGAGCUCGAUGAGUAGGGCGGGACACGUGGUAUCCUGUCUGAAUAUGGGGGGACCAUCCUCCAAGGCUAAAUACUCCUGACUGACCGAUAGUGAACCAGUACCGUGAGGGAAAGGCGAAAAGAACCCCGGCGAGGGGAGUGAAAAAGAACCUGAAACCGUGUACGUACAAGCAGUGGGAGCCUCUUAAUGGGGUGACUGCGUACCUUUUGUAUAAUGGGUCAGCGACUUAUAUUCUGUAGCAAGGUUAACCGAAUAGGGGAGCCGAAGGGAAACCGAGUCUUAACUGGGCGUUAAGUUGCAGGGUAUAGACCCGAAACCCGGUGAUCUAGCCAUGGGCAGGUUGAAGGUUGGGUAACACUAACUGGAGGACCGAACCGACUAAUGUUGAAAAAUUAGCGGAUGACUUGUGGCUGGGGGUGAAAGGCCAAUCAAACCGGGAGAUAGCUGGUUCUCCCCGAAAGCUAUUUAGGUAGCGCCUCGUGAAUUCAUCUCCGGGGGUAGAGCACUGUUUCGGCAAGGGGGUCAUCCCGACUUACCAACCCGAUGCAAACUGCGAAUACCGGAGAAUGUUAUCACGGGAGACACACGGCGGGUGCUAACGUCCGUCGUGAAGAGGGAAACAACCCAGACCGCCAGCUAAGGUCCCAAAGUCAUGGUUAAGUGGGAAACGAUGUGGGAAGGCCCAGACAGCCAGGAUGUUGGCUUAGAAGCAGCCAUCAUUUAAAGAAAGCGUAAUAGCUCACUGGUCGAGUCGGCCUGCGCGGAAGAUGUAACGGGGCUAAACCAUGCACCGAAGCUGCGGCAGCGACACUAUGUGUUGUUGGGUAGGGGAGCGUUCUGUAAGCCUGUGAAGGUGGCCUGUGAGGGUUGCUGGAGGUAUCAGAAGUGCGAAUGCUGACAUAAGUAACGAUAAAGCGGGUGAAAAGCCCGCUCGCCGGAAGACCAAGGGUUCCUGUCCAACGUUAAUCGGGGCAGGGUGAGUCGACCCCUAAGGCGAGGCCGAAAGGCGUAGUCGAUGGGAAACAGGUUAAUAUUCCUGUACUUGGUGUUACUGCGAAGGGGGGACGGAGAAGGCUAUGUUGGCCGGGCGACGGUUGUCCCGGUUUAAGCGUGUAGGCUGGUUUUCCAGGCAAAUCCGGAAAACCAAGGCUGAGGCGUGAUGACGAGGCACUACGGUGCUGAAGCGACAAAUGCCCUGCUUCCAGGAAAAGCCUCUAAGCAUCAGGUAACAUCAAAUCGUACCCCAAACCGACACAGGUGGUCAGGUAGAGAAUACCAAGGCGCUUGAGAGAACUCGGGUGAAGGAACUAGGCAAAAUGGUGCCGUAACUUCGGGAGAAGGCACGCUGAUAUGUAGGUGAAGCGACUUGCUCGUGGAGCUGAAAUCAGUCGAAGAUACCAGCUGGCUGCAACUGUUUAUUAAAAACACAGCACUGUGCAAACACGAAAGUGGACGUAUACGGUGUGACGCCUGCCCGGUGCCGGAAGGUUAAUUGAUGGGGUUAGCGGUAACGCGAAGCUCUUGAUCGAAGCCCCGGUAAACGGCGGCCGUAACUAUAACGGUCCUAAGGUAGCGAAAUUCCUUGUCGGGU
rnacentral:rRNA from 1 species